GCGGCUGUGACCAUCGGAGGGCGCCGCCGCCAUGGCUCCUAACUGCCCUUGCCCUUCCGAACCGGACUAGGGUUUUCGUCGGAGAAGACGGAAAGGGGAGAAGAAGACUUGGCUCUCUGCCUCUGUGAAGUCCCCAGAUGUUUCUGAAAAGGUCUGUGAAGAUGAGUCUUGUAUUGUCUUGAAGAGAAGCAAACAAACAAAUGGCUCCACUGGUCUGUCAAUGUCGAAUGCUGCUUCGGUUAUGCAGUUAUCCGGACGCUAAUCAAUUGAUCCAUCUCUCAAGUCUUGAUUCUCUUGCCUGCCAGAAGCAGUGUGUGUUGGCAAUCGGCCCAUGGAGGCGUGCCUCGUCAUUCUCCAAAAGUAUACGUAUGUUCAAGGGGACGCAGUUUAAUAAUGAUUCCUUGAGCAACAACACACAUACCUUAAUUUGUGAACAAAAAAAAGAUGUCCAUGGCCUUUUCCAAUUUCAUUUCGCUAUUGGCUGAUGUGUACAAAUCAAACAUCCACCGAUUCAUGUCAAAUUCCAACAAACCAAGUAAGCAGCAGAAAAAUUCCCAUGCCAGAGAGCCGCACACUCCAUGGAAACCACCCGAGCCAGGACAUACUAGCUUAACGUGGAUGGUUCCUUCGCUGUGUGGAAACAAGACGUGCAGAAACUGGGAUGCUUCUUAGAGAUGACAAUGUAGAGCUCUCGUACAUUGCAAUGACCCGCUGGAGGCGGAACUUGAAGCCUGCGUGUAGGGAUUGCAACUGGCCUUCAACAUACGCAUCUCCCAAUUUGCCUGGAAGUGGAUUGUGCCGAGGCGGUGAAACUGAGUGGAGAGAAGGAUAUUUCCUGCUCGAGCUAUCGUAACCUGCUUCAGGUGUUUCAAGAGCUCAUAAACGAAGACCGUGAAGUGACUAAAUGCAAGAUCUCCCGCUACAAAUAUGAUUUACUUGCAAACAUGAGUAGGAUAUCGGGAAUUACCAAUUGUUGGUUGGGUGAUUACCCUCAUGAGCUUGUAAAUGUGAUGAACAAAAACUGUAUUUCUAAUGAUUAACAUAUUACAUUUACGUCGCCAAAAAAAGUAAACCGGCCUUAAACGUUUGAGCCACAAAUUUAUUCAGAUACCAGUAUAUUCCACAAAAACAAUUUGUCUGGAAUAUCAACAAAAUACACUCCCCUUGCUUAUUAUUAUUUACCAAAAAACAAGACGAGCCCAUACAUGCAGCAGCAGCAGUACAAUUCUAAAUGAAGGAUC